GAGACGCUGGCGGCGUGCCUAAUACAUGCAAGUCGAACGAACUCUGGUAUUGAUUGGUGCUUGCAUCAUGAUUUACAUUUGAGUGAGUGGCGAACUGGUGAGUAACACGUGGGAAACCUGCCCAGAAGCGGGGGAUAACACCUGGAAACAGAUGCUAAUACCGCAUAACAACUUGGACCGCAUGGUCCGAGCUUGAAAGAUGGCUUCGGCUAUCACUUUUGGAUGGUCCCGCGGCGUAUUAGCUAGAUGGUGGGGUAACGGCUCACCAUGGCAAUGAUACGUAGCCGACCUGAGAGGGUAAUCGGCCACAUUGGGACUGAGACACGGCCCAAACUCCUACGGGAGGCAGCAGUAGGGAAUCUUCCACAAUGGACGAAAGUCUGAUGGAGCAACGCCGCGUGAGUGAAGAAGGGUUUCGGCUCGUAAAACUCUGUUGUUAAAGAAGAACAUAUCUGAGAGUAACUGUUCAGGUAUUGACGGUAUUUAACCAGAAAGCCACGGCUAACUACGUGCCCAGCAGCCGCGGUAAUACGUAGGUGGCAAGCGUUGUCCGGGAUUUAUUGGGCGUAAAGCGAGCGCAGGCGGUUUUUUAAGUCUGAUGUGAAAGCCUUCGGCUCAACCGAAGAAGUGCAUCGGAAACUGGGAAACUUGAGUGCAGAAGAGGACAGUGGAACUCCAUGUGUAGCGGUGAAAUGCGUAGAUAUAUGGAAGAACACCAGUGGCGAAGGCGGCUGUCUGGUCUGUAACUGACGCUGAGGCUCGAAAGUAUGGGUAGCAAACAGGAUUAGAUACCCUGGUAGUCCAUACCGUAAACGAUGAAUGCUAAGUGUUGGAGGGUUUCCGCCCUUCAGUGCUGCAGCUAACGCAUUAAGCAUUCCGCCUGGGGAGUACGGCCGCAAGGCUGAAACUCAAAGGAAUUUGACGGGGGCCCGCACAAGCGGUGGAGCAUGUGGUUUAAUUCGAAGCUACGCGAAGAACCUUUACCAGGUCUUGACAUACUAUGCAAAUCUAAGAGAUUAGACGUUCCCUUCGGGGACAUGGAUACAGGUGGUGCAUGGUUGUCGUCAGCUCGUGUCGUGAGAUGUUGGGUUAAGUCCCGCAACGAGCGCAACCCUUAUUAUCAGUUGCCAGCAUUAAGUUGGGCACUCUGGUGAGACUGCCGGUGACAAACCGGAGGAAGGUGGGGAUGACGUCAAAUCAUCAUGCCCCUUAUGACCUGGGCUACACACGUGCUACAAUGGAUGGUACAACGAGUUGCGAACUCGCGAGAGUAAGCUAAUCUCUUAAAGCCAUUCUCAGUUCGGAUUGUAGGCUGCAACUCGCCUACAUGAAGUCGGAAUCGCUAGUAAUCGCGGAUCAGCAUGCCGCGGUGAAUACGUUCCCGGGCCUUGUACACACCGCCCGUCACACCAUGAGAGUUUGUAACACCCAAAGUCGGUGGGGUAACCUUUUAGGAACCAGCCGCCUAAGGUGGGACAGAUGAUUAGGGAA
rnacentral:rRNA from 2 species